GUGGGGAAUCUUGCGCAAUGGGCGAAAGCCUGACGCAGCCAUGCCGCGUGGAUGAUGAAGGUCUUAGGAUUGUAAAAUCCUUUCACCGGUGAAGAUAAUGACUGUAGCCGGAGAAGAAGCCCCGGCUAACUUCGUGCCAGCAGCCGCGGUAAUACGAAGGGGGCUAGCGUUGCUCGGAUUUACUGGGCGUAAAGGGCGCGUAGGCGGACAUUUAAGUCAGGGGUGAAAUCCCGGGGCUCAACCUCGGAACUGCCUUUGAUACUGGGUGUCUUGAGUAUGAGAGAGGUGUGUGGAACUCCGAGUGUAGAGGUGAAAUUCGUAGAUAUUCGGAGGAACACCAGUGGCGAAGGCGGCUCACUGGCUCGAUACUGACGCUGAGGUGCGAAAGCGUGGGGAGCAAACAGGAUUAGAAACCCUGUAGUCC
rnacentral:rRNA from 1 species